rnacentral:rRNA from 1 species
UACGUAGGGGGGCUAGCGUUGCUCGGAAUCACUGGGCGUAAAGCGCACGUAGGCGGAUUGUUAAGUCAGGGGUGAAAUCCUGGAGCUCAACUCCAGAACUGCCUUUGAUACUGGCGAUCUCGAGUCCGGGAGAGGUGAGUGGAACUGCGAGUGUAGAGGUGAAAUUCGUAGAUAUUCGCAAGAACACCAGUGGCGAAGGCGGCUCACUGGCCCGGUACUGACGCUGAGUGCGAA